UAGAGUUUGAUCCUGGCUCAGGAUGAACGCUAGCGACAGGCUUAACACAUGCAAGUCGAGGGGCAGCGGGGAGGUAGCAAUACUUCCGCCGGCGACCGGCGCACGGGUGAGUAACACGUAUGGAACCUGCCCGUAGCAGGGGGAUAAACGGAAGAAAUUCCGUCUAAUACCGCGUAAUAACUCCGAGAGGCAUCUCAUGGAGUUUAAAGGGUAACACCGGCUACGGAUGGCCAUGCGGCGCAUUAGCUAGUUGGCGGGGUAACGGCCCACCAAGGCGACGAUGCGUAGGGGUUCUGAGAGGAAGGUCCCCCGCACUGGUACUGAGACACGGACCAGACUCCUACGGGAGGCAGCAGUGAGGAAUAUUGGUCAAUGGGCGCGAGCCUGAACCAGCCAAGUCGCGUGAGGGAAGACGGUCCUAUGGAUUGUAAACCUCUUUUGUCGGGGAGCAAAAGACGCCACGUGUGGCGUUCCGAGAGUACCCGAAGAAAAAGCAUCGGCUAACUCCGUGCCAGCAGCCGCGGUAAUACGGAGGAUGCGAGCGUUAUCCGGAUUUAUUGGGUUUAAAGGGUGCGCAGGCGGAAGAUCAAGUCAGCGGUAAAAUUGAGAGGCUCAACCUCUUCGAGCCGUUGAAACUGGUUUUCUUGAGUGAGCGAGAAGUAUGCGGAAUGCGUGGUGUAGCGGUGAAAUGCAUAGAUAUCACGCAGAACUCCGAUUGCGAAGGCAGCAUACCGGCGCUCAACUGACGCUCAUGCACGAAAGUGUGGGUAUCGAACAGGAUUAGAUACCCUGGUAGUCCACACAGUAAACGAUGAAUACUAAUUGUUCGGGGAGAAUGAUCCCUGAGUGAUACAGCGAAAGCGUUAAGUAUUCCACCUGGGGAGUACGCUGGCAACGGUGAAACUCAAAGGAAUUGACGGGGGCCCGCACAAGCGGAGGAACAUGUGGUUUAAUUCGAUGAUACGCGAGGAACCUUACCCGGGCUCAAACGACACAGGAAUACUUUUGAAAGGAGGUAGCUCUACGGAGUCUGUGUCGAGGUGCUGCAUGGUUGUCGUCAGCUCGUGCCGUGAGGUGUCGGCUUAAGUGCCAUAACGAGCGCAACCCCCAUCGCCAGUUACCAGCAAGUCAAGUUGGGGACUCUGGCGAGACUGCCGGCGCAAGCUGUGAGGAAGGCGGGGAUGACGUCAAAUCAGCACGGCCCUUACGUCCGGGGCGACACACGUGUUACAAUGGCAGGUACAGAGAGAAGCAAUGCGGCGACGCAAAGCGGAACUUGAAAGCCUGUCUCAGUUCGGAUUGGAGUCUGCAACUCGACUCCAUGAAGCUGGAUUCGCUAGUAAUCGCGCAUCAGCCAUGGCGCGGUGAAUACGUUCCCGGGCCUUGUACACACCGCCCGUCAAGCCAUGGAAGCCGGGAGUGCCUGAAGUGUGCAACCGCAAGGAGCGCCCUAAGGUAAAACUGGUGACUGGGGCUAAGUCGUAACAAGGUAACCGUA
rnacentral:rRNA from 1 species